rnacentral:rRNA from 1 species
AGAGCGAACGCUGGCGGCAGGCCUAACACAUGCAAGUCGAGCGCCCGUAGCAAUACGGGAGCGGCAGACGGGAUAGUAACACGUGUGAACGCGCCCUUCGGUUCGGAAUAACUCAGGGAAACUUGAGCUAAUACCGGAUACGCCCUUACGGGGAAAGAUUUAUUGCCGAAGGAACGGCCCGCGUCCGAUUAGCUAGUUGGUGAGGUAAUGGCUCACCAAGGCGACGAUCGGUAGCUGGUCUGAGAGGAUGACCAGCAUCACUGGGACUGAGACACGGCCCAGACUCCUACGGGAGGCAGCAGUGGGGAAUAUUGGACAAUGGGCGCAAGCCUGAUCCAGCCAUGCCGCGUGGAUGAUGAAAGCCUUAGGGUUGUAAAGUCCUUUUAACGGGGAAGAUAAUGACGGUACCGUAGAAUAAGCCCGGCUAACUUCGUGCCAGCAGCCGC